UACGAAGGGGGCUAGCGUUGUUCGGAAUCACUGGGCGUAAAGGGCGCGUAGGCGGGAUGGCAAGUCAGUCGUGAAAUCUCUCGGCUCAACCGAGAAACGUCGGCUGAUACUGCCGUUCUUGAGGGAUGCAGAGGAGACUGGAAUUCCCGGUGUAGCGGUGAAAUGUGUAGAGAUCGGGAGGAACACCGGUGGCGAAGGCGGGUCUCUGGGCAUUUCCUGACGCUGAGGCGCGAAAGCGUGGGGAGCAAACAGG
rnacentral:rRNA from 1 species